rnacentral:misc_RNA from 1 species
CUCUCUCUCUCUCUCUCUCUCUCUCUUAAAGGAUUCCCCUUCAAAUCUCCUGUAGAUCCAUAGUUUCUCCUUCAUCAGAUAUUUGAUUGUAGUAUCACAAGUUUGGGAGAUAUUCUGCUAGAAUCUCCAGCAUAUUCAGUGAUGCUACAUCUCCAUAGAAAUUGACCCAGAUGGGGCCCAUAGAGGAGAAGUUAGACCUUGAAUCUGAUGAGGACAUCUCUUUCGUGUUAUCACCUGUGAGGAGCAAAGUACAUUCUUUUGAUUUUGAGACAACCAUUGUGGGCUCUCAUGCUGAUGUGGUCAAUUCACGGGCUUUGAAGCGAAUACUAAUGAGCCCUCUUAGGAGUAUUUAUAUCGUCUUAAUUAAAGCAAAGAUUAACUUGCUGCUAGUGUUUGGUCCCUCAGCAAUUUUUCUACAUUAUUUUACUAGAAAUCAUGAAUGGGUCUUCUUCCUAAGCUUACUGGGCAUCAUACCUUUGGCAGAACGUCUAGGUUACACAACUGAGCAGCUUGCAUUCUACACUGGACCUACAGUUGGUGGUCUUCUAAAUGCCACAUUUGGAAAUGCAACUGAAAUGAUAAUAUCAAUUUAUGCAUUGAAGAGUGGGAUGAUAAGAGUUGUUCAACAAUCUUUGUUAGGUUCUAUCUUGUCAAAUAUGCUUUUGGUGCUUGGAUGUUCUUUCUUCAGUGGUGGGAUUGCUAAUCACAAGCGGGUUCAGAAAUUUAAUAAGGCGGCUGCUCUAGUGAAUUCUGGAUUGCUUUUGAUGGCUGUAAUGGGGAUAAUGUUUCCAGCUGUGCUUCAUUUCACACACACAGAAAUUCAUUUUGGCAAGUCAGAGUUGUCUCUUUCAAGAUUUAGUAGCUGUAUAAUGCUAGUGGCAUAUGGAAGCUACCUUUUCUUUCAACUCAAAAGUCAACAUAAUCUCUAUCGUCCCGUUGAUGAG